GCGCUGCUGAUGAGUCCCACAAUAGGACGAACCGUACGUCCAGUGC
rnacentral:hammerhead_ribozyme from 1 species